GACGAACGCUGGCGGCAUGCCUAAUACAUGCAAGUCGAGCGAACAGAUGAAGUGCUUGCACUUCUGACGUUAGCGGCGAACGGGUGAGUAACACGUAAGGAAUCUACCCAUAAGCGGGGGAUAACAUUCGGAAACGGGUGCUAAUACCGCAUAAUAUCUUCUUCCGCAUGGAAGAAGAUUGAAAGACGGCUCUGCUGUCACUUAUAGAUGACCUGGCGGUGCAUUAGUUAGUUGGUGGGGUAAUGGCCUACCAAGACGAUGAUGCAUAGCCGACCGGAGAGGGUGAUCGGCCACAUUGGGACUGAGACACGGCCCAAACUCCUACGGGAGGCAGCAGUAGGGAAUCUUCCGCAAUGGGCGAAAGCCUGACGGAGCAAUGCCGCGUGAGUGAAGAAGGCCUUCGGGUCGUAAAACUCUGUUAUAAGAGAAGAACAAAUUGUAGAGUAACUGCUACAGUCUUGACGGUAUCUUAUCAGAAAGCCACGGCUAACUACGUGCCAGCCGCCGCCGUAA
rnacentral:rRNA from 1 species